AACGUAGGGGGCCAGCGUUGCUCGGAAUUACUGGGCGUAAAGGGUCCGUAGGCGGUGUGGCAAGUCGGAAGUGAAAUCUCUGGGCCUAACCCAGAGGCUGCUUCCGAAACUGCUGUGCUAGAGUGUGAGAGAGGCGAGUGGAAUUGCGGGUGUAGCGGUGAAAUGCGUAGAUAUCCGCAGGAACAUCCGAGGCGAAAGCGGCUCGCUGGAUCACAACUGACGCUGAGGGACGAAAGCUAGGGGAGCAAACAGG
rnacentral:rRNA from 1 species